AUCGCAGACGGUUGAUUAAGUCUGAUGUGAAAGCCCGGAGCUCAACUCCGGAAUGGCAUUGGAAACUGGUUAACUUGAGUGCAGUAGAGGUAAGUGGAACUCCAUGUGUAGCGGUGGAAUGCGUAGAUAUAUGGAAGAACACCAGUGGCGAAGGCGGCUUACUGGACUGUAACUGACGUUGAGGCUCGAAAGUGUGGGUAGCAAACA
rnacentral:rRNA from 1 species